rnacentral:rRNA from 1 species
GAUGAACGCUGGCGGCGUGCCUAAUACAUGCAAGUCGAGCGAACAGACGAGGAGCUUGCUCCUCUGACGUUAGCGGCGGACGGGUGAGUAACACGUGGAUAACCUACCUAUAAGACUGGGAUAACUUCGGGAAACCGGAGCUAAUACCGGAUAAUAUAUUGAACCGCAUGGUUCAAUAGUGAAAGACGGUUUUGCUGUCACUUAUAGAUGGAUCCGCGCCGCAUUAGCUAGUUGGUAAGGUAACGGCUUACCAAGGCGACGAUGCGUAGCCGACCUGAGAGGGUGAUCGGCCACACUGGAACUGAGACGCGGUCCAGACUCCUACGGGAGGCAGCAGUGGGGAAUCUUCCGCAAUGGGCGAAAGCCUGACGGAGCAACGCCGCGUGAGUGAUGAAGGUCUUCGGAUCGUAAAACUCUGUUAUUAGGGAAGAACAAAUGUGUAAGUAACUAUGCACGUCUUGACGGUACCUAAUCAGAAAGCCACGGCUAACUACGUG